GCAGACCCGCAGGCGCUCGGCCGGCUAAGCCUGCGCGGGGCAGUCUCGCUGGUCCCAGCUCCGCAGGCGGCCGGCGGGGCCCCACCGCUCAGCCCGCGGCCGGGGCAGAGGCAGGCGCGGACCCGGGCCCCGCGGCCCGCGCGGCUUUCGGUGCGACAUUUGUUGGGUACUUCAUGGUGUUCUCCUCAGCCCCCUCCACACCACUGCUCCACACGGCUCCUGAACCAUGGGAGAAAACGAGGACAAGAAGCAGACCCAGGCGGGACAGAUCUUUGAGAACUUUGUCCAGGCCUCCACGUGCAAAGGUACCCUCCAGGCUUUCAAUAUCCUCACACGACUCUUGGACCUCGACCCUCUGGACCACAAAAAUUUUUAUUCCAAGCUCAAGUCCAAGGUGACCACCUGGAAAGCCAAAGCCCUGUGGCACAAACUGGACAAGCGUGGCUCCCACAAAGAAUAUAAGCGUGGGAAGUCGUGCAUGAACACCAAGUGUCUCGUCAUUGGAGGAGGACCCUGUGGCUUGCGCACUGCCAUUGAACUCGCCUACCUGGGAGCCAAAGUGGUUGUGGUGGAAAAGAGGGAUACCUUCUCCCGGAACAAUGUGCUGCACCUCUGGCCUUUCACCAUCCACGACCUGCGGGGCCUGGGAGCCAAGAAGUUCUACGGGAAGUUCUGUGCCGGCUCCAUCGACCACAUCAGUAUUCGUCAACUGCAGCUCAUCCUAUUCAAGGUGGCCCUGAUGUUGGGGGUUGAAAUCCAUGUGAAUGUGGAGUUUGUGAAGGUUCUAGAGCCUCCUGAAGAUCAAGAAAAUCAAAAAAUUGGCUGGCGGGCAGAAUUCCUCCCCGCAGAUCACUCUCUGUCGGAGUUUGAGUUUGACGUCAUCAUUGGUGCCGAUGGCCGCAGGAGCACUCUGGAAGGGUUCAGAAGAAAAGAAUUCCGUGGGAAGCUGGCUAUUGCAAUCACCGCCAACUUCAUAAACAGAAACAGCACAGCUGAGGCCAAGGUGGAAGAGAUUAGCGGUGUGGCUUUCAUCUUCAAUCAGAAAUUUUUUCAGGACCUUAAAGAAGAAACAGGGAUUGAUCUUGAGAACAUUGUUUACUACAAGGACAGCACUCACUAUUUUGUCAUGACGGCUAAGAAGCAGAGCCUGCUCGACAAAGGUGUCAUCAUCAACGACUACAUCGACACGGAGAUGCUGCUGUGUGCAGAAAAUGUGAACCAAGACAGCCUGCUCUCCUAUGCCCGGGAAGCUGCAGACUUUGCCACCAACUACCAGCUGCCAUCCUUAGACUUUGCCAUGAACCACUACGGCCAGCCCGACGUGGCCAUGUUUGACUUCACCUCCAUGUAUGCCUCGGAGAACGCAGCCCUGGUACGGGAGCGGCAGGCGCACCAGCUCCUCGUGGCCCUCGUGGGUGACAGCUUGCUCGAGCCAUUUUGGCCAAUGGGCACAGGGUGUGCCCGUGGCUUCCUGGCAGCCUUUGACACGGCAUGGAUGGUGAAGGGCUGGAAUCAGGGCACUCCUCCCCUGGAGCUGCUGGCUGAACGAGAAAGCCUUUACCGGUUGUUACCUCAGACAACCCCAGAGAACAUCAACAAGAACUUUGAGCAGUACACACUGGAUCCGGGCACGCGGUACCCUAACCUCAACUCACACUGUGUCAGGCCUCAUCAGGUAAAGCACUUGUACAUCACUAAGGAGCUGGACCGCUGCCCUCUCGAGAGAGUGGGCUCUGUGAGGAGAUCUGUCAGCCUCUCCAGGAGGGAGUCAGACAUCCGGCCCAGCAAGCUCUUAACCUGGUGCCAGCAGCAAACGGAGGGCUACCGGCAUGUCAACGUCACCGACCUGACCACAUCCUGGAGCAGUGGCCUGGCCCUGUGUGCCAUCAUCCACCGUUUCCAGCCCGAGCUGAUCAACUUUGACUCUUUAAAUGAAGAUGACGCUGUGGCAAACAACCAGCUGGCAUUUGACGUGGCCGAGCGUGAGUUUGGGAUUCCUCCAGUGACUACGGGCAAAGAGAUGGCAUCAGCCCAGGAGCCUGAUAAGCUCAGCAUGGUCAUGUACCUCUCCAAGUUCUAUGAGCUCUUCCGGGGUACCCCGCUGAGGCCUGUGGAUUCUUGGUGCAAAAACUACACAGAAAUUUCUGACCUCGGCUUGACCAAGUCAUCCAUUUCAAAUAACUAUCUUAACCUCACGUUUCCAAGGAAGAGGACGCCACGAGUAGAUGUCCAAACUGGAGAGAAUGACAUGAACAAACGGAGGCGGAAAGGCUUCAACAACCUGGACGAGCCAUCGGCCUUUUCCAGCCGUAGCUUGGGCUCCACUCAAGAGUGCAGCAGCAGUCAAGAAGGUGGAAAUCAGAACAAAGUCAAGUCUAUGGCAAAUCAGUUGCUGGCCAAGUUUGAGGAGAGCACUCGGAACCCCUCACUCCUGAAGCAGGAGCGCCGUGUCUCAGGGAUAGGUAAGCCCAUUCUGUGCUCUCCCUCUGACCCUCCUGUUCACUCUCGCUGCCCCAAGCCGGAGGAGCCCACACCCAGCCCAUCACCUCCUCUGAAAAGGCAGUUCCCCUCUGUGGCUGUGCCGGUGCAUGUACUCAGAGAGCUCAAGCAAGUGUCUGCUGGCGGCGAGUGCCCAAGCAGGCCGUGGAGAGUCAGAGCCAAGUCUGACCUGCAGCUGGGUGGACCAGAGAAUUUCGCUACCCUGCCUCCCACCCGCCAGGGGGCACAGGCCCUUUCUGGGGUGCUGCAGCGGCUGCAGCAAGUGGAGGAAAAGAUUCUCCAGAAGAGGGCCCAGAACUUGGCCAACAGGGAAUUUCACAAAAAGAACAUUAAGGAGAAGGCGGCUCACCUCGCUUCUAUGUUUGGACAAGGGGAUUUCCCUCAGAAUAAACUACUCUCUAAAGGCCUGUCUCAUACUCAUCCUGAAUCUCCUCCCUCUUGUCUUCCGUCUCCUCCUGAUCCAACUGCUACUUCCUCUCCGUCACCUGUUGACUCUGCUUCUCCUGCCAGAAAGGAAAAGAAGUCACCUUCAGGUUUCCAUUUCCAUCCCAACCACUUAAGAACAGUACAACCUCGGCUGACGGUAGGGAAAGUGUCCAGCGGAAUAGGGGCUGCAGCUGAAGUCCUGGUCAAUCUGUACAUGAAUGAUCACAGACCUAAGGCCCAGGCCACCUCUCCAGACCUGGAAUCUAUGCGAAGGUCGUUUCCCCUGAACCUGGGUGGCAGCGACACCUGCUACUUCUGUAAGAAACGUGUGUAUGUAAUGGAGCGACUGAGUGCCGAGGGCCACUUCUUCCACCGCGAGUGUUUCCGCUGCAGCAUCUGCACCACCACCCUGCGUCUGGCCGCCUAUGCCUUCGACUGCGAUGAAGGAAAAUUUUACUGCAAGCCUCACUUCAUUCACUGUAAAACCAAUAGCAAACAACGGAAGAGAAGGGCAGACUUGAAGCAACAAAGAGAGGAGGAGGGGACAUGGCAAGAGCAGGAAGCCCCUCGGCGAGACACCCCCACCGAAAGUUCUUGCGCUGUGGCCGCCAUUGGCACACCGGAAGGCAGCCCCCCAGUUCAUUUCAGCCUUCCAGUGCUACACCCACUUCUUGGCUGACACACUUCUGCUCGGAGGUGACUGGUUUUCUUGCCAAUUUUCAGAGGGUGGUACUAACCCCUAACCUGCUUUCCGCACCCCGUCCUCUCCUGCCUGUGGUACUGGCUGCGCUAACUAGUCUCCCUCCCUUUAUAGAAUGUCAACCAAAGAAUGCCCUCCUGCCCCUCAGCCUCCUCUCUAGCUAGCCUCCCCAUCUCAUCACAACGCAUGUCUGUGACCUUUGGUAAUCAUUGACAGUGCCACACGAAACCCUGUAUUUUGCACAAUGUUUAGUUUUAUUUAUGGUAUUUGAUGAUGUAAAUGGAAAUAAAUAUGGUUCUUUAUAAAGCUCA